rnacentral:lncRNA from 1 species
CUGAAGGCAUGGCUACACAUUCAGGUUCAAGCCGAGCAGAAGUAAACACUUGGUUUUGAGCCAGAGCUUUUCAACGUAGAUACACAGACUUUCAGAGCUGAGAGGGAUUUCUCUGUGCCUCAUCUUUCAAGCACCGGACAGAAAAAAUCUAUGCCUGGAAUGGUCAAUUCAUUUCUACACUUUACAUGCUCAGACUGAGGCAGGUGGUGACAAGCUGCCCUGGAAAGUUCACUGGGGGCUAUAAGACAUUACAUAAAGAAAAUGUCAGGUGACUUACAAAGUCCUCUUCAAAGGAAUCCCCCUGCAGACCCACGCCUAAUACAGAUAUUGCUUUUCCUUGCUACUCCUCUAGUCAAGCGGUAUGUGCUCAUUUUAGUAACACUGAG